GUUACAGGUAAAACAGAAAUACAGAUUCAAGGAAAUGAAGAUUCAAGGAAUUGCUCUUAGAUUUUAUGAGUAUAUUUUUUCAACUACGUCAUGCAAUCAGAAGAUAGAACAGAUUCAAGAAAUUGAACAUAAUCAGUUUUGAGUAUAACGUUCCAAGUACGUAGUGCAGCUGACGUUUUAUGAUGCUAGAACGAAUUUGUAAGUCAGGCAAAUGAAGCUUCGUGAUGUAAAAGGUAAGAUGUUGAUUAGUUUUAACAUUUAUUUGCUGCAGUAUGUAUUUCAUAUAAUUAAAACAAACAUAAUUAUAACUACAAAGUGUUAUUGAGAAUUCAUUUGAAAAUGAGAAUGAAUAACGAGAAUUAAAUUUGUGAGAGUCAUUAAACAUGUUUAGAAUAGAAUUGUUUACAUUUAAGCAGUACACAAAGAUUAAUUUUGCUAAAAUGAGACUUUGAUUUAUCAUUCAUGGAUUAUACUUGGAUUCAGUGUUGUUAUAUUGACCUUGUCAAUUACAUAGAUCUGUAAUAGAGUUCCGCUUAAGCCGGUGCUAGGGUGCACAUUUCAUUACUUCUCAUGAAAAUACUCAAUCAGACCGAGUCUGCUAUUAUAUUUUUGGGGUUGCAUUCUAUAUAUAAGGGAUUUUUACAUACUUUAUUAUUGAAUCAUUUUACUACAUUUUGGUUUAGAUUAUAUGUGAAUAUCAGGCAUUUCAAAUACAUGUUAUUACAUUCAUAUUUGAAAAAGUUAGUUGGUGUUUUAGCUUUGUAAACACAGAAGUACGCAUGUUUAGCCACAGUUUGAAAUGAAUGAAGAAGAGCACCAGGUAUUGUAUCGGUAGACAGAUUAGCAGAAAUUAUCGAAACAAGUAGCAAAAUGGCCAUAAUGACCUUGAGCCUCUGACUUCACCUACAGUAUCUGACAUUUUAUCAUUUUUUCACACCUGUUUACAUCUGCAUCUGCAGUUAUGUCUUAGUAUUUAAGUAAGAGUAUUUGGAUACUCUAAGAAUACCCAGCAAUUCAAACACAUUGUUUCUUCCUUCAUAUUUGAAAAAGUUAGUAAAGUAAGUUUAUGUUUUGUUCUUGUAGGAAUAAAAAAUGCAUUGAUUGAAACAUCUAUAUCCAGAAGUGAAUUUAUUAUUUCAAGCAAAGUCAAUUUACUGCAAUAAAACGUCAUUUAUCACUAAUUUUUAUCUUUUUGCAGAUAAUAUCUGAAAUUAUUUUUUGUCUUGGUUCAUAAUUUAGUACUUCAGAAAGCUAGUUCAUAUUUUCCACCAAUGAAACCACAACUUGAAAUGUCACUGUGUAAACUAAGGUGUAGAUAGGAAUCAGCAAAUAUUAUACUAAGAAGAAGAAGCAAGAAGAGAACAAUUACUUAUUUAAUUCGCUAACAUGACCUUGAGUAGUUGACGUUGCACCAUCAGGUAAUAUCUUAACAUGCAUAAGAAAGAAU
rnacentral:lncRNA from 1 species